rnacentral:rRNA from 1 species
UUAAGCGACUAAGCGUACACGGUGGAUGCCCUGGCAGUCAGAGGCGAUGAAGGACGUGCUAAUCUGCGAUAAGCGUCGGUAAGGUGAUAUGAACCGUUAUAACCGGCGAUUUCCGAAUGGGGAAACCCAGUGUGAUUCGUCACACUAUCAUUAACUGAAUCCAUAGGUUAAUGAGGCGAACCGGGGGAACUGAAACAUCUAAGUACCCCGAGGAAAAGAAAUCAACCGAGAUUCCCCCAGUAGCGGCGAGCGAACGGGGAGGAGCCCAGAGCCUGAAUCAGUGUGUGUGUUAGUGGAAGCGUCUGGAAAGGCGCGCGAUACAGGGUGACAGCCCCGUACACAAAAAUGCACAUACUGUGAGCUCGAUGAGUAGGGCGGGACACGUGGUAUCCUGUCUGAAUAUGGGGGGACCAUCCUCCAAGGCUAAAUACUCCUGACUGACCGAUAGUGAACCAGUACCGUGAGGGAAAGGCGAAAAGAACCCCGGCGAGGGGAGUGAAAAAGAACCUGAAACCGUGUACGUACAAGCAGUGGGAGCACGCUUCGGCGUGUGACUGCGUACCUUUUGUAUAAUGGGUCAGCGACUUAUAUUCUGUAGCAAGGUUAACCGAAUAGGGGAGCCGAAGGGAAACCGAGUCUUAACUGGGCGUUAAGUUGCAGGGUAUAGACCCGAAACCCGGUGAUCUAGCCAUGGGCAGGUUGAAGGUUGGGUAACACUAACUGGAGGACCGAACCGACUAAUGUUGAAAAAUUAGCGGAUGACUUGUGGCUGGGGGUGAAAGGCCAAUCAAACCGGGAGAUAGCUGGUUCUCCCCGAAAGCUAUUUAGGUAGCGCCUCGUGAAUUCAUCUCCGGGGGUAGAGCACUGUUUCGGCAAGGGGGUCAUCCCGACUUACCAACCCGAUGCAAACUGCGAAUACCGGAGAAUGUUAUCACGGGAGACACACGGCGGGUGCUAACGUCCGUCGUGAAGAGGGAAACAACCCAGACCGCCAGCUAAGGUCCCAAAGUCAUGGUUAAGUGGGAAACGAUGUGGGAAGGCCCAGACAGCCAGGAUGUUGGCUUAGAAGCAGCCAUCAUUUAAAGAAAGCGUAAUAGCUCACUGGUCGAGUCGGCCUGCGCGGAAGAUGUAACGGGGCUAAACCAUGCACCGAAGCUGCGGCAGCGACACUAUGUGUUGUUGGGUAGGGGAGCGUUCUGUAAGCCUGUGAAGGUGUACUGUGAGGUAUGCUGGAGGUAUCAGAAGUGCGAAUGCUGACAUAAGUAACGAUAAAGCGGGUGAAAAGCCCGCUCGCCGGAAGACCAAGGGUUCCUGUCCAACGUUAAUCGGGGCAGGGUGAGUCGACCCCUAAGGCGAGGCCGAAAGGCGUAGUCGAUGGGAAACAGGUUAAUAUUCCUGUACUUGGUGUUACUGCGAAGGGGGGACGGAGAAGGCUAUGUUGGCCGGGCGACGGUUGUCCCGGUUUAAGCGUGUAGGCUGGUUUUCCAGGCAAAUCCGGAAAAUCAAGGCUGAGGCGUGAUGACGAGGCACUACGGUGCUGAAGCAACAAAUGCCCUGCUUCCAGGAAAAGCCUCUAAGCAUCAGGUAACAUCAAAUCGUACCCCAAACCGACACAGGUGGUCAGGUAGAGAAUACCAAGGCGCUUGAGAGAACUCGGGUGAAGGAACUAGGCAAAAUGGUGCCGUAACUUCGGGAGAAGGCACGCUGAUAUGUAGGUGAAGCGACUUGCUCGUGGAGCUGAAAUCAGUCGAAGAUACCAGCUGGCUGCAACUGUUUAUUAAAAACACAGCACUGUGCAAACACGAAAGUGGACGUAUACGGUGUGACGCCUGCCCGGUGCCGGAAGGUUAAUUGAUGGGGUUAGCGGUAACGCGAAGCUCUUGAUCGAAGCCCCGGUAAACGGCGGCCGUAACUAUAACGGUCCUAAGGUAGCGAAAUUCCUUGUCGGGUAAGUUCCGACCUGCACGAAUGGCGUAAUGAUGGCCAGGCUGUCUCCACCCGAGACUCAGUGAAAUUGAACUCGCUGUGAAGAUGCAGUGUACCCGCGGCAAGACGGAAAGACCCCGUGAACCUUUACUAUAGCUUGACACUGAACAUUGAGCCUUGAUGUGUAGGAUAGGUGGGAGGCUUUGAAGUGUGGACGCCAGUCUGCAUGGAGCCGACCUUGAAAUACCACCCUUUAAUGUUUGAUGUUCUAACGUUGACCCGUGAUCCGGGUUGCGGACAGUGUCUGGUGGGUAGUUUGACUGGGGCGGUCUCCUCCUAAAGAGUAACGGAGGAGCACGAAGGUUGGCUAAUCCUGGUCGGACAUCAGGAGGUUAGUGCAAUGGCAUAAGCCAGCUUGACUGCGAGCGUGACGGCGCGAGCAGGUGCGAAAGCAGGUCAUAGUGAUCCGGUGGUUCUGAAUGGAAGGGCCAUCGCUCAACGGAUAAAAGGUACUCCGGGGAUAACAGGCUGAUACCGCCCAAGAGUUCAUAUCGACGGCGGUGUUUGGCACCUCGAUGUCGGCUCAUCACAUCCUGGGGCUGAAGUAGGUCCCAAGGGUAUGGCUGUUCGCCAUUUAAAGUGGUACGCGAGCUGGGUUUAGAACGUCGUGAGACAGUUCGGUCCCUAUCUGCCGUGGGCGCUGGAGAACUGAGGGGGGCUGCUCCUAGUACGAGAGGACCGGAGUGGACGCAUCACUGGUGUUCGGGUUGUCAUGCCAAUGGCACUGCCCGGUAGCUAAAUGCGGAAGAGAUAAGUGCUGAAAGCAUCUAAGCACGAAACUUGCCCCGAGAUGAGUUCUCCCUGACUCCUUGAGAGUCCUGAAGGAACGUUGAAGACGACGACGUUGAUAGGCCGGGUGUGUAAGCGCAGCGAUGCGUUGAGCUAACCGGUACUAAUGAACCGUGAGGCUUAACCU